UGGGCCUAGGAUGAGGAAUGGCUCCAGGCUCAACCGCCAGGGGGUGCACUGGUUAUGGAAGGGGCGCAAUAAGCUUGCCUUGGGCCUUAGGCCCAAACAGCCAAGACACUAUUGAAUUCAAUCCACUGUAUCAACAAACAACUACUGAAAACUAAGAAGAAAAAAAGAAAGAAACCAAACGCGCUUAUUCAAAUAAGCGAUAAGACGCUUGCAAACGUACAGGCGCCACUUCAUCGUCAAACUCAAUCAAGCACAUAGCAAGACUCGAACGAGCUGUAUCGACACGUUUUUUAUCUCUCUGCCUCGCAUCCAUCAACCACCGUUGCGAGUCGUUAAUGCUCCAAGGUUUCACGUUGUUCAUCGGUCACCUUGAUUCACGUUCUUCCGACACCAUCGGCAUUCAAUUUCACACAAUCAGCAACAAAAGCUAUCCUAAUCCGUGGAGCCGAAUCACAACGGAAUCACCGAAUUGCUCGAACGUAACGAAGCAGGAAGAACAACGCCUUACCGGUUUUGAUGCGGCUUGCAGGAUCGUUUAUCAGUGAAGAUUGAAGAAGAAAGAGAAGAAGAAUUUUUUCACUGGUGAGUUUUCUCAAAGGAAGAAGAAGUUUGUGGAAGAUUCGAGAAGUUGCUGGAGUUUGUUACGAUGGUGGUAGAGGAUAAUGGAAAAGAGGAAGAAUAAAUCUGGGGAGAAAGAAAAGAGGAAGCUCCACUCCAUUAAUUCCGUUUAUAUAUAGUGGUUUGUGUUUGAAGAUCAAUGAGUUUGCAUUGAGUUUCAAUGCUUCAGAAUGUCAUCGUUUUUCACUUUUCUUGCCGUUUGGAAAUAGUUUUCAUUGUGUUGUUUCCGUUUAUGCCGUUUAUUUGGAAUGUCGCGUUUUGAUGCA